rnacentral:lncRNA from 1 species
UCAGAGAAGCUUUGUGGAUUGUUGGUCUGGAAGUGCAUCGUCUUGAUUUAUCCCAUCCUCCUUCACGCACCGCACCAGGCGAUCCAAGUUCGCUCGAUCAUCUUGUUCUCUUCCCAUCUUCAGGCAGCAGAAGAUCUAAAACAUUAGGGCCCCGGAGACGGAGUUCGACACCAUUCCGUGUCCGCAACGAGAGAGGAAAAAAGGUACGCAUCGAGGACAAAACAUAGUUUACUUUUUGGGCAUAAACUACUCAGGAGGAUCAACAAGGUACUGCAGCAUGGCACAUCGAGGUCUAGGAGGUAUGCAUCGAGGACAAAACAAAGUUCCAAGUUUUGGGCAUAAACCACUCAGGAGGAUCAACAAGGUUACUGCAGCAUGGCACAUCGACAUUACAGUCCAAUGGAAAUCUCUCUGGUGAUUUCAUAACCCAAACCAUUAAGGUUCCCCCC